GGGUUAGUAUCCUAAUGGUAAGGAACUUUCUUGUCAUGAAAGUUUAUGUCGGUUCGAGUCCGAUCUGACCCG
rnacentral:tRNA from 1 species